UUCAUGGAUCAUACUACAGUGAACCAGAUCAGACAACUAAACAGUCUCAGAACAACCAAAACAAUGGAACUAUGACGGAGGAUGUUGGAUUCAUUAGCUUAAUGAACAUGCAUUACCAGAAAUAUGUUUAUGCUGCCACCAAUAUUUACCCAAAUACUCUGGUCUUCAAUUUAGAAAUGAAAAGCAUGGAUUCAAAGUCGUUCAUCCUUAUGUGAUAACCAUGUUCAACAAUGCAGUCCUAUGUUUUUUUCUUUUUCUUUUCCCUUUACUAUACAUAAAAUUUUAUUCCUGCCUGUCUGCUUAAUUAUCACAUUGAUCACACAAAGAAACUCAAAAGUGUUAUUUGCAACAAUUAUCAGUUGCCAAUUUGUUUACGAUAUCAUAUCCAGAAAUGUUUCCCUCAGAACUUCCGAUUCCCACUUCAGCAUGAUGCUUAUAAACCAAAUGGAAUUGUUUCCCAGUUCCACCACACCUAAUCAAAGCCUCAAGAAAUCUCACUCUCCUUUUUGUCCACUACAGACCCACAAGUAAAUGCGGCACUAGCAUCAAGUUGGCAAGAUCUGCCGGAUAUAGUAUAGGACAUGAGAUUAAUGGGGCAACAAAAACCCCACAGCAUGGUUUAUCAUCAAUUCACCCAGUACUAGUAACUGAUUCAUAUCAGCUCCACUGGAACCCACUUGAGAUCCUGAAUGUCCAUUCUCCCAAUUUUCUCAAAGUCAUCAUAAGCUAUUGAAGAUGACCAAGUCCAUGAAACAAAAACACGGAAACGCUCACAAAGAACGAAUAAUCAGAAAUCACAUAAUGAUUAAUAAUAUGAAAGCCAAAUCAAAUUCAAACACUCAUCAACAAGAACAAAAAAAUUCAUCAAAGGAAACGAUAUAUGCAAAAAUAAUGAAAUAAAACCUCGCUAAAGCGGGCAGCUUGGGCUUUUUUGAUCCGGGCAGGUCAUCUUGAUCCUCCACGCUCUGUUCAUAGCCCCUUUUCUCCACCCUCCUGCUCCUUGAACCUUCCAUCUUUGCAAAUUUUACCAACCCCACUAGCACUUUCAGUCCUGUUUCCAAAUUCAGAAACCCACUACUGGUCUACCGAUCCAAAUAUAUCCUUGCAAGUUUCGUCGAAGAAUACAUCAACUAAAGCACGAAGACUUCGGAAUUCUACCUCAGAUUUUGAUAACAGAAGACUAAUAAAAAAAAGCAAGACACAAACAAAAUAAACUGUUUGAAGGAGUCUUUUCUCAAGUGAGAAAGCAAAGGAAAAAGGAAAGAAAAAUCUGAUGGGUGGGAUCUGAAUGUAUUGUUUUUUGGGUUUGUGAUAUUAAAAUAAUGUAAUAAUUCAAAGACCACAGCUGGAUUGAGCGAAAUAGAGAGCGAGUGCAUGAACAUUGAAACCGCGUUUUGUGGGUCAUCUUGGGUGUGCAGAUUGUCUUUGACUAAUUUGAUAAAGUCAACGGGGUCAGUUUGUUCGCAAUUGACCCCACUUGGAUACCUUAAUUGGAACGCUGGUUUACAACCGACAACUUGUUUUCUUCCUGUUUGGAUGGUGGGAAAAUUGAAGUGCACCACAUUCACUUUGCGAUUUAAG
rnacentral:lncRNA from 1 species